rnacentral:lncRNA from 1 species
UAUAUAUACAAGUUACUAUAGUAGAAACAAAAAUAACAACUUGUGCCUUAAUUGAUACAGGAAGUGAUAUAACCAUUUUUAAAAAUUUCUUAAUAAAAUCAUGGAAUAAAAAUAGUAAAAUAAAAAUAACAGAAGUGACUGGAGAAAGCACUCAAAUAAUUGAUAGUGUUGAAAAAGUUAAUAUAAUACUUGGUAGUAAACAAGUUAUAAUAAAUAAAAGUAUAUAAUUAUAAUAAAUUAGAAUGUGAUAUAUUAUUAGGAAAUGAUUUUAUCCAACAAUUUCAAUAUUAUAAACAAAAUAAUUACAUGAUAAUGUUACAAACACCUUGUGCACAUCUAUUAAAAAUACCAAGAGAAUUUAGACCCUACAGAGUUCAGCCAGUCCAGCGUGGUGAUAAAUGGAAAAAACGACCAAUAGUACAAGAUGAACUAAAAAAUAAAAAAACUAUCAUAU